AUUGAACGCUGGCGGCAGGCUUAACACAUGCAAGUCGAGCGGAGUGAUGGCGCUUGCACUAUCACUUAGCGGCGGACGGGUGAGUAAUGCUUAGGAAUCUGCCAUUUAGUGGGGGACAACAUUCCGAAAGGAAUGCUAAUACCGCAUACGUCCUACGGGAGAAAGCAGGGGAUCUUCGGACCUUGCGCUAAAUGAUGAGCCUAAGUCGGAUUAGCUAGUUGGUGGGGUAAAGGCCUACCAAGGCGACGAUCUGUAGCGGGUCUGAGAGGAUGAUCCGCCACACUGGGACUGAGACACGGCCCAGACUCCUACGGGAGGCAGCAGUGGGGAAUAUUGCACAAUGGGGGAAACCCUGAUGCAGCCAUGCCGCGUGUGUGAAGAAGGCCUUCGGGUUGUAAAGCACUUUCAGCGAGGAGGAAGGGUGGUGUGUUAAUAGCACAUCAUUUUGACGUUACUCGCAGAAGAAGCACCGGCUAACUCUGUGCCAGCCGCCGCGGUAACAC
rnacentral:rRNA from 1 species